rnacentral:rRNA from 1 species
CGGGACGGGUGAGUAAUGUCUAGGGAACGUCCCGAUGGAGGGGGAUAACUACUGGAAACGGUAGCUAAUACCGCAUAACGUCGCAAGACCAAAGAGGGGGACCUUCGGGCCUCUUGCCAUCGGAUGUGCCCAGAUGGGAUUAGCUAGUAGGUGGGGUAACGGCUCACCUAGGCGACGAUCCCUAGCUGGUCUGAGAGGAUGACCAGCCACACUGGAACUGAGACACGGUCCAG